rnacentral:lncRNA from 1 species
UGGAGUUCCCGCCAUGGCGCAUGGGUUAAGAAUCUGACAUCGGUGGCUCGGGUCUCUGCGGGGGUGGGUUCGAUCCCCAGCCCGGUGUGGUAGGUUAAAGGAUCCAGCAUUACUGCAGCUUGAAGCUUGAAGCUGCAGCUUGGAUUCAAUCCCUGGCCUGGAACUUCCAUAUGCCAUGGAUGCAGCCACUGAAGAAAAAAAAAAGAAGAACCUUUCCCAACCCUGAAGGGGGUCAUGGUGACUUGCUGCUUGCUUUUCCAUGCUUACCUGGACUGUGUGUCCGUGAUGAACUUUACGUACAACCUAAGUACGUCAUUUUGAUAUACAAUUCUUUGUCUCAAAAAUGCACAUGACUAGACCUUUGACUUCUGUCUGGGGGAAGAGACCUCAGAGAUUUGAGAUUCUCUCUCCUUGCUUAUAAUUCCCAGUUUGUCUCGAUGAAACACCCUGUUUGUCAUCAUUUUAACUUGAUUGUUAACUGAAUUUUUGCUGCAUUAAUGAAAUAAGCCUGUCUGAAAAAAGGUGCGUUACUGUAUGAUUACACUUAUAUGACAUUGCAGAAGAGGCAAAACCAUUUCUGAUGUCAAACAAAUCACAGUAUUCACCAAAAAGUCAAAAGAAGAGAAGAGGGCUGAACAUUGAAACACACAGAUUUUUUUGAGCUGAGAAAUUAUUUUCUUCAAUAGUUUAACAGAAGAUUAAUUAAUUUGUCAAGACCCACAAAGCUUUACAACACAAGUAAUAAAACCUAACAUAUGCUAGCCUUGUUAACAAAUCACUCAGGUCAUGGCUUCUGAGAAUGGAAUGCAGAACAUGACAAGUGAAUCUUGUACAACAAAUACAUAAAAUAAAACUCACUGAAAAGAACAGAGAGAAAAAGAACCACCUGGACUUUGAAAUAAGUGGAGUCUAUAAAACUAAGGCCAAAGAAUACUGUAUUCUGACAGUUAUUCUCCACAGGAUUGUGGCUUAGUAAUUGAGACAGCUCUAUUAUGCGUAUGACGUGUACAGAAACUAAAUAAACAAGUAAAUGGAUAGCAGAUGGGAGGAGCUAGGUUUCUUACUGAUGAAGUGGGAGGUUACAGAUAAGCAGUGAAGAAUAUAAGAAUGAACCAUGAGUUAAUAAAUUAGAGUUAGAGAGUAUAGACUCAUGUUUAAUGAGAAAUGGUUACAUAUAGAAGUAACAGCAAACAUGUAUAUAUACAUGUGUUAAUAAAUAUUUAUAGGUACCGACCUGUGAAUGAACUGGUAUUGACAUUCACGUUACACUCUUUUGUCAGCAGACAGCCUAGGAGCAAGGGUAUCCCAGUAGCAACAAACUUGAAUAUUAAUAUAAUUAGCAAUCAUUGUAAAAGUGAUACACCAGAGAGGACACUUAGCCGUUUUUCAAUCAGGACUUUGUUCUUCGUGUGUUUUGUUUAGGUUUUCAAAUUGUAAUUGUCAGGCUCUGUAUUACAAAGCACCCAGAAUAAUGGUGUUUAGGGCCUAUGACUGAAAAACAAAUCUGACUU